rnacentral:tRNA from 1 species
CCCUACAUGGUACAGUGGUUAAAGAGCUUGGCUGCUAACCAAAAGGUUGGUGGUUUGAAUCCACUUGGAGGCA